CUGAUCUUCAGGAUUCAGUAAAAGCAGCAGUGGCGGCUCGUGACUGCUCAUCCGAGGGGCGCUAAUUCCAAAUAAGUCUUCGGAGUGUCAUGUGUGUUGCUUGCGUUUUCAAAAUAUGUGUUGGUUGCGUCAUAUGAACCAUGUGCAUCCAUGUUUUGUCAAAGUAAGUGCCUGCUGCACACGCGUCAAAACCAUUUAUGAUAAAAGAGAUGCUCACGUUCACAAAAUACACACAAGACACUCCCUUAACAGUAAAUUCUGAUUACGCAUGAGAUUAUGCGAGUAUCUGGCAAACGCGAGUGUCUCUUUUAUCAUAAACCCUUUAGACACGUUUGCAGCAGGCACUUAUUUUGACAAGACACGUGAUGCACACAGGAUCUCUCAUAGCGCAGAACACAUAUUUUGAAAAAAGGAACCACACACAUCACGGGCUACAUACAUAUUGUGACGAACUUCGCAUUGAGGGCUCUCAAAAAAAGAAGUCACCGGCCGCCACUGAAAAUCAGUAAAGUUAAUAAUGCAUACAUUUGUGGAAAGUCUGAGCAGGGGAAGAUGAUUACAGCAUUGGGGUGCACUUUGAAAAAGUGAAAACAAGAAUGCUUGAAAAAACACCAAAUAUUAAACUUUUUAGAGGACUGCAUGGCAUAGACAAUGACUGAGAGGACUAAAUCCCUAUCCAGCCCUUAAAGUCCCUUCAGUUCUUGCAUUUGAGGUCCAAAGCAUACUUGACACAGACAUUGAAAGAAACAUGCUGAAGAAUCUAGGCCUGGUGGCACAGAAAGUGAUUAAUGAGUGCCACAGAAGACAUUUUGGAGUGCAUAUCUGUACCGAACUGGAUGAAGCAAAACAAGCCUACAUUGAUUUGGCACACAGAGGUCUCUCAAUGGCUGCUGCUGCUACCAUGUUGCUUCCAUUUCUUUUCAAGGAGAGCCCAAGAUUCCUUUAUGUCAUUAAUCAGGUACCAAAUACACCCAACCCAGAUCUAUAUAUAAAAGGAAGCCCUUUGGGUGCAGAUUCAAUCCUGGAGAUAAUGAUGGAAGGUGAGAAAGUCUUUUAGGUAGAAGAUGUCACUAUAGC